AUUCAACUUACCGAGCGAGAGAGAGGCAACGGAGGAGAACUUUUCACGAUUGAACCGGCUUUUGGCCGAGUUGUACGAUGUUCUGUGCCACAUAUUGGUGGCCCGGCAGCCUGGUCAAGAAACACAGGAAGGCCAUCGAGAUCGCCCGUUCUCCGAAUCAGACAUCGAAAGACCGCGGCCCUCUGAAGCGCUUCUUCCUAGCCGAAGAUCAGCAUCUUCUCCACCACUAACUCUGCCGCUGGAGAUGGAUCUCGAUGACGACGUGUUCCUUCCUCGUUCGGAUGUUGGCAACAAUCCAUUCUCCACUACUAACAUAGAGAUAUUCAGAUACGGAAGUCCCAGGACCCCAGCUGGUGUUCUGCUGAGUCCCAGAAGGGAGACAGCGUUCAGUUUUUCCACUAACGAGAAGCACUGGAGGGAUAAAGGUGGGACAGGUGGCGCCAUCGAGGUUGAUGAGACUGACGCAUCUGCUAACUACAACGAGACGACAACGGAGAGCUCCCUUUUUUCCUCGAUAAUACCGGACAAGGUUUCUGGCUCUAUAUGUACUGCUGUCAUUUUCAUGAUCGGAUGGAAACUGCUGAGCAAUAAACGCUGAAUUUAAUGUUUUAUGAAUCAAGGAUUAACGAUAUAUCUUGUCAUGUUAUUCAGAAGGGCGUUUUUUUAAACACUUUGUACUAAAUUUUUGUAAGUUUUACUUAAUGAUGCCAAAUAUUAACUAUGUAUUUAUUUGAGCCAACAACAAACACUGGUGAAAAUAUUUUUUUUUUGACUUAUGAAUGAAGAACCUGAAAUGAGCGAGCAUAAUGUAAAUGCAAAUUAAUGUCUUAUUUGUAUAAGACAUAAAGAUCAAAAAUCUAUGGCAAUUAAAUUAUGACCGGGUUACGUAGGUUUGGUUUUUUGGAAUUAGGUGACUAACGGCUUCAUUUCAUCGGGUCGACUGGUUCCGUCACAACAUAGCCCUAAGAAUACAAGUGAUCACCACCGCUUAUCACAUCUAUUCUAAUUCGUCGGCAAUCUGUAUUACUUUUACUUCAAAUACUAAAAUGAUAAAAAUUGCAGUUGAAAUAUUUGCUCCUAACUUCAACCCUGUUUCAUUAUCUCGCCGUAAACUAACCGGCAAAUAACGGAAAGCAGCCGAUAAGGCUCUAAAUAAUUUGUGAAAGAGCGACAUCUCAAGUCAAUUUCCUAAUAUGCAAUUAUAGGGGUUGAGCAGGUUAUCAACUGUCAAGUAAAUGAGAUAAACCCGAUAAAUUUUGGUUAUAAUUUUUUUUGUAUGAUAAGUCUCUCUCAUUAGCAUAUAGGAAAACCGGUUUACAAGGAGCUUUCUUCCACGUAAUACAAAGCUGUGGAAUGAACUUCCUUGUGCGGUGUUUCCGGGACGAUACGACAUGGGUACCUUUAAAAAAAGCGCGUACACCUUCCUUAAAGGCUGGCAACGUUGCUGUGAUUCCUCUGGUGUUGCAACAACAACAGCAGGUGACCCAUAAAAAAAAAACGUGUUUUUAUCAAUCUAGACCUUAAAAUCUUCAAAAGCAACUGUUUAUGUUUGCAGUGUGGUUAUUUCAUAUAAAUAACUUUUGGUUUUAUUAUUUUAAAUAUUACAAGGGGUGAAAUACGAAUGAAAUAAUUUUAACAUAUCAUGCAUUGCGCAUGAACCUAUAAUCUAUAUAAACAUGUACCAGGACUUCAUAUGCAGAAGCCCUGGUACAUGUUGCUAGGAUGACACAUGAUUUCAACCGCUUUGAAAGACAUUACUAUCACCGCUACCACAUUUAUGUUCUCCUGGUCUAGUUAUUACUAGUUAUUACCUCGUGCGCAUGACGUCAGAAUAUGUUAAGGUAUACUCGCGUCGUACAUAAGACAAUCUCUUCUUUAACUAUGAUCGCCUGGUAUCAAAACACUGUUUAUUGAUUCCUUUCUCAUUCUCUCGCCGGCAGAAUCCUACCUUUUUUUGUCUCUAUCGUCUCGCUUUUUCGUUUCAUCGAGUUUCAAAUCACAAUGAUUCUAAAGAAGUUUCACUUCACCAAAGUAGACAGUUUUUGCGUCGUUUUAACUGUUUGCUCUACGAAAUUUUGCAGUAAUUAUUAAUAUGAAGUAAACAUUAAGUUUAUUUAUUAGACUUAAUUUUGAAAGUUUAUAAUAUUUUCAAGGCAUUUCUUUAUAAUAAUAAUAAUGUUCAGACGGAAAAUUUGUUUGUUAUGGAAAAUUGCAUCUUGAUGGUUUUGCGCAUUUUUUUGUCUGGUAUUGGGGAAAAGGGUAUUGUGACUGUCCGCUCUUAAAAGGAAAUAUCCAAUAAAUGCACAAAAAUAAAAUGAUAGAAGCUGAUAUUAACAAAAACUAGUUUUAAAAUGGCAUCAUUAAAUAAACUUACUAUUACGCACAUUGUAAAAUUAUUUUAAAUUUUAGAGUAUAGUAUAAAUGUUAGUGAUGUAUAACAUAGUAAUUCCCGCUUAGUAUAAAUUAUAAUAAACAUUAUCAUUAAUUCAUUAUUAUGCAUAUUGUGUGAACAUAUUAACACGAGUGACAUUAUGAGUGUACCAUAUAAUAUACUAUGCUCAUAUAUAUAUAUAUAUUCAAUUUGUCUACAUACUACAUUUAUUAACUAUGAUACAGUAUUAUACAAGAAUUAUGUAAGUGUUAUAUAGCCAAAGUAGAAUAUUACAAUUAUAUACAUAAUGUCAAAAAGAGCGCAAAAAAAGAAUGCUGGGAGAGUUUCUUGCGCCGCUUCUUCUCUCUCAGAGCGCCAUUUGUUUCCGAAGCGGUAGUAGUAUCUAGCAUAUAAGAAAUGACAUCAUAAAAUAUUCUAAAGUAAUCAAUUAUUAUGAGAAAAUAAAUGACUUUUAUACCUUUAUGCAUGCUUUAGGACUGCAUCGACAAUAGACUUACAAUAUACUAUCGUAUAUACUAACAAAGCGUGCGAGAGAGAAGAACUUCACUAACGGAUACAGCAUGAUAGAUAAGCAAAUCUAUUGUGCCUGUCACUGAUUUUGAUUGACGGAUCGUAAACUGUCAGCCACGCUCGACAUUAGCUACUUAGUAUUUUGAAUAUUAAACUACCAGCUAACGCACACAUUGGCGAAUUAAAAUUGGUCACACAGUCUCUAUGUACCGGGCUGUCAGGUUGUCGAAAUGCUAGUAUAUUUUAAGUCUAUGGCAUGUUUUUUGUUUAGUUGCCGGGUGCAGGCAACUAGGAAAUUCAUAAAUUUUCUCCUUACGAAAUUAUUUACUGUGAUAUUUGGUUAUAUAACAUUUAUAUUUUAACUUAAGUACUUAAAUAUAUUCAAUAAUAUUUAAAUAUUAUCACAUUCCGCUUUCAGUGUUGUCGUACGUAGAUAUAAAUAAUUGUAAGGAAUAUUUGAAUUUCUCAUCUGAAUAAAGUUUUCACAAUAUAAUCCAAAGAAAUCAGCCUAAAAUUGUCAUUGAUUGAUCUCACUAUGUUUUGUAAUGAAAGUUUAUUUUAGAUUUUAGAUAAAGAUACUGAUAUACGACUAAUAGGAGUAGGGAAAUCGAAACUAUCUGAAUAUUCGAAGCGUACGUGAAAUUUCGGAAAAUUAUAAUGGCGUAAAUCACUUCGCUACUAAUAUUGUAGGAUUUGCAUUAUGCUUUUAAUCCGAAUAAGAAUUUCACAGAUCAAUUUGCAGCGUGUAUUUUUAUUGAUAAUUAAAUUAACAUCUCUGAAAACUUAGAUUAUGUAUUGGUCUCCGCUGCGCUCCAACUAGAUACCGCAGGCGUGGUCGCAGAGUGCGGCAACUAAUACUAUGAUAAAGUGGGCGUACUCGAGCCAGUCUCAAAUAAUGUGUGGCGCUGCCGUGCCACAAUGUUUAACUUUGCUAAUAAUGGAAACUAAAAUAUAAAUAUAAUACUGCAAGAAAUAAGAUUGACACUGGGAUACCGACAGUAAGUAUUUUGUAUUUUAUUAAUCUAAUAUAUAAAAUUCUCGUGUCAUGGUGUUAAAUAUUGAACUCGUCCGAAACGGCUUGACCGAUUCUCGUGAAAUUUUGAGUGCAUAUUGGGUAGGUCUGAGAAUCAGACAUCAUCUAUUUUACAUUCCCCUAAAUGUUAAAUAAUGUUAAUGUUAUGUUUUCCACACGAUUUUUUUUUAAUUUGUUUGAUUAUGAGUCAGCAUUAAAAAAUACAUACAACUUCAAAUUUUCACCCAUCUACGAUCAACAGUUACUUUUGUAUCACGAUUUUAAUAUCGGCAAUACAACGUUUGCUGGGUCAGCUAGUUUCAAUGUAAAAUAGCACGAAGCGUAUUAAAACAUAAAAUUUGAAAGAUGCUAUUGAGUGUCAAGAUGCCACGCAAACAAGCAUCUAAAAGUUGCCGUAAUAAAAAAGUUAUUGUCCUUAGGUAGUACGGUAUCUAGCGGGAGCGCAGCGGAGACCAAUCCUUAAUCUAAGUCUGAAAAGAAAUUUAGUGUUUCGAUUUCUUAUAACAUCCUGUUGCGUAUGAGAAUUACGACCGAAAACUUAAACGCUGCUUAAGUUUAACUACAGAUUAAAGCCUUUGAUAGAACAGUGAAAUUAAGGUAUUUUUAAAGAUAAUUAACAUCAAAAAUUUAACCAGCGUUUUAGUGUUAAAGUCAGGUGUCAUACGCAGACCAAAGUUAUAAGCUAUCAGUUAAUUAACGCCCCUUGUUGACCCAAAAUAUUUCAUAGACAAAAGAUGAAUAUUUAAAUUUUGGUAUAGCUUUGCAGAUUCGCUUAACUAAAACUAAUUGGGUUCCAAUCUCAGAUUCUUAUGUGUCGGUUCAUCGGUGCAAUGCGAUGUUACCGUUGUCAUAUCGCGAUGUGCUUGAUCAUAGAUCAUUUUGUGAUACGUUACGGCGUAAUGGACAAGUUGAUCACUACAGCAGUCUCUGAUGGGGGUUCUUCAAAUGUUGUAAUUAAUUUUCUAGCUUAGCGUUUUGGUCUACGUAUUGAAUAUAAUUCAAAAAUAGUUUAUUUUAAUAACAUAUUAUAUAUUGUCUUAUUUAACCUAAAUAUUUAACCAUUAAAACGAUCUGCACUAAGAAAUUAUUAAUCAUUAAGUAUCAUAUAUUUAUAAAUAGUAUAAGGUUUUGUUACCGUCUAGAUUGAUUUUUAAUUAAUUUAUAUUUUAAAUAUACUGUAUAUAAUGGUCUAACACGAAGACACAUGAUCGUACAAUAUAAUAAUAGGUGCGCAUCUGUAACUGGGCACAGUCAAUAGCAUACAUGCUAUAAGAACUCCGAUAAGAACCGUCUACAGUAUAACGUCGUUACAGAAAAAUCUUAGGCAGGAUUUAGUGCUCGACCGACUACGGUCAAUGCUCACGCUGACAAUGCUACGUUUAGUGCUCAGCUGACAGCAAAUUUGAUUAGUCGCCAUAGCACGUCAGCGGACCGAUGUCCCUCGACAGCGCGACGUACGUAGUAAUCGUAGCAUAGCUAUAACAAUAAAAACUUAAUAUGAUCGCGUUCAGUCCAGCGCUGAUGAAUUGCUACGCUCGUAUAUCUACGUCGCGCUGACGAGAAGAGUCGGUCAUUCUCGUCGCGGUCGGUCCGCUGACUGAGCAACCGACUGUAGGCGCGUUCGUAACAAUGUUAUCAAAAAUCGUUAAAAUUAUGGUCCUGGCAAUUUAAAACAUAUUGUAUAAUUUUUUCUUCAAUUUGACGCUCUAUAAUAAUUGGGUAUACAAUAUACCUUCUCCGCCUUUUAUUCCAGAAUCGGUUGCAUAAGUAGUACGCACAUAUUAAAUAGGUUCAUUCAUUUUUCUUC